UCUAUUGGUAUUAUACUACGUAAAACGUCCUCACUGAAGAGGGUGGAGGGCAAAGGUGCUUACCUAAAGAAAUGGUGAAGUCCAGAUUAGCACUUGGAAAUGAGGGAGUCUAUAAAACUAAAGACAAAAGGAACUGCACAGUUGUUAUCCACAGAGGGUCCGGCAGUGUUUGAAGAAGAAAUGAGCGAGGGUUUGAGGAUGGAUCAAUGCGAGGAUGAAAGAAAAGAGAGGGUGCAAGAAAAUGUGACCAAAACUUGAAUGAAGGAAAGAGAAAAAGCAAGCGAUUAAAGAAGGCUUAUUUACCUUCUUAGAAAUUGUUAACUGAAUUCAGUUUUUAAUCAUAAGGAAAAAAAAAAACCAGCAAUAAAAGCUGUUUAAAUAGAGACUAUGGAAGACCAGAUAAGAGAUCCAAGAUGCCUGAGAU